rnacentral:rRNA from 1 species
CCUACGGGAGGCAGCAGUGGGGAAUUUUGGACAAUGGGCGCAAGCCUGAUCCAGCAAUGCCGCGUGAGUGAAGAAGGCCUUCGGGUUGUAAAGCUCUUUUGUCAGGGAAGAAACGGUGGGAGCUAAUAUCUCCCGCUAAUGACGGUACCUGAAGAAUAAGCACCGGCUAACUACGUGCCAGCAGCCGCGGUAAUACGUAGGGUGCAAGCGUUAAUCGGAAUUACUGGGCGCAAAGCGUGCGCAGGCGGUUUUGUAAGUCUGUCGUGAAAGCCCCGGGCUCAACCUGGGAAUUGCGAUGGAGACUGCAAGGCUUGAAUCUGGCAGAGGGGGGUAGAAUUCCACGUGUAGCAGUGAAAUGCGUAGAGAUGUGGAGGAACACCGAUGGCGAAGGCAGCCCCCUGGGUCAAGAUUGACGCUCAUGCACGAAAGCGUGGGGAGCAAACAGGAUUAGAUACCCUGGUAGUCCACGCCCUAAACGAUGUCUACUAGUUGUCGGGUUUUAAUUAACUUGGUAACGCAGCUAACGCGUGAGUAGCCGCCUGGGGNGAGUCGCGAGAGUAACUACAAGAGUAGUAGNGNGNGAGAGCGACGACGACGACGAGGAGGAGG